rnacentral:rRNA from 1 species
GUGGGGAAUAUUGCACAAUGGAGGAAACUCUGAUGCAGCGACGCCGCGUGGAGGAAGAAGGUUUUCGGAUCGUAAACUCCUGUUGUCGGGGACGAUAAUGACGGUACCCGACAAGAAAGUGACGGCUAACUACGUGCCAGCAGCCGCGGUAAAACGUAGGUCACAAGCGUUGUCCGGAAUUACUGGGUGGAAAGGGAGCGCAGGCGGGGAGAUAAGGUGGGAGUGAAAACUAUGGGCUCAAACCAUAAAUUGCUUUCAAAACUAUCUUUCUUGAGUAGUGCAGAGGUAAGGGGAAUUCCCUGUGUAGCGGUGGAAUGCGUAGAUAUCGGGAGGAACACCAGUGGCGAAGGCGGCCUACUGGGCACCAACUGACGCUGAGGCUCGAAAGUAUGGGUAGCAAACAGGAUUAGAAACCCUGGUAGUCC